CUUAUACCUUACUGUUGCCUCGGCGCAUGCCGGCCCCCUCGGGGGCCCCUCUCCGGAGGAGCAGGCACGCCGGCGGCCAACCUAACUCUUGUUUUUACACUGAAACUCUGAGAAUAAAACAUAAAUGAAUCAAAACUUUCAACAACGGAUCUCUUGGUUCUGGCAUCGAUGAAGAACGCAGCGAAAUGCGAUAAGUAAUGUGAAUUGCAGAAUUCAGUGAAUCAUCGAAUCUUUGAACGCACAUUGCGCCCUCUGGUAUUCCGGAGGGCAUGCCUGUUCGAGCGUCAUUUCAACCCUCAAGCCUGGCUUGGUGAUGGGGCACUGCCUGUAAAAGGGCAGGCCCUGAAAUUCAGUGGCGAGCUCGCCAGGACCCCGAGCGCAGUAGUUAAACCCUCGCUCUGGAAGGCCCUGGCGGUGCCCUGCCGUUAAACCCCCAACUUUUGAAAAUUUGACCUCGGAUCAGGUAGGAAUACCCGCUGAACUUAAGCAUAUC
rnacentral:rRNA from 1 species